ensembl:snoRNA SNORA74 Small nucleolar RNA SNORA74
GCCAGCUGCAGGCAACUGCCUAGGUUGCCUUGUACCUAGGCAAGUGUUACAGUGCUGGGAGAAAAGCAGCCAAUAGUUAGCUGGCAUUCGGAGCCUGGUUAAUGCCAAUUUGUGUUAACUACACUAGUGUGCCAGCAUAGU